AUGGAACUCGGUUUUGGUUUGGUUUGUUUUGAUUGAUCGGUCUCUUACUCCCUGCUCAAAAAUUAAGAAUGAUCGAUGUUUGCCGCCGUCCACUGAUAACGCUAACAGCCUUGGACUCUUUGGCAUUGGGGAAUAGGGAUGGCAUUGGCUAAUGUUCUGGACAUUGGGUGGGGACGACGUUUUGUUAUGCCACGUGGACCUUAUUGCACCCAUAUGUGGCUCUUAAACCUAUGUUUACAUGUGUUUAUUUAAUG
rnacentral:misc_RNA from 1 species